GACGAACGCUGGCGGUGUGCCUCACACAUGCAAGUCGAACGGAAUAGCAAUAUUCAGUGGCGGACGGGUGAGUAACACGUGGGAAUCUGCCUCAAAGUGGGGGAUAACUGACCGAAAGGUUAGCUAAUACCGCAUACGUCGCAAGAUAAAAGGAGCAAUCCGCUAUGAGAUGAGCCCGCGUCCGAUUAGCUAGUUGGUAAGGUAAAGGCUUACCAAGGCUACGAUCGGUAGCNGGUCUGAGAGGAUGAUCAGCCACAAUGGAACUGAGACACGGUCCAUACUCCUACGGGAGGCAGCAGUGGGGAAUUUUACACAAUGGGCGAAAGCCUGAUGUAGCGACACCGCGUGAGCGAAGAAGCCUUUUGGGGUGUAAAGCUCUGUCAGCAGGGACGAAACAAAUGACGGUACCUGCAGAGAAGCAUCGGCUAACUACGUGCCAGCCGCCGCAGU
rnacentral:rRNA from 1 species